UACGGGGGGGAGCAAGCGUUGUUCGGAUUUACUGGGCGUAAAGGGCGCGUAGGCGGCCACCGCAAGUCGACUGUGAAAUCUCCGGGCUUAACCCGGAAGUCAGCGAUCACUGCGGGCGUAGAGUGCAGAAGGGGCAACUGGGAAUUCUCGGUGUAGCGGUGAAAUGCGUAGAUAUCGAGAGGAACACCUGCGGCGAAGGCGGGUUGCUGGGCUGACACUGACGCUGAUGCGCGAAAGCUAGGGGAGCGAACGGG
rnacentral:rRNA from 1 species